CCUCGGGUGCCCCUGAUUCCGAGGUAGGGGGUUGGGACACCCUGGACGUGGGGUUGGGACACCCUGGACAUGGGGGUUCCCGUGGGGGUCGGUGCCAGCAGGACGCUCGGUGGCCUUGCGCACCCCACUCCCCAGCAGUGACACCGUGGGAGGGGGCAGUAGGGUGAGGGGUGUCCCCCCCACCAUGGCUCGCUGCAGCCAGGCAUUUCCCAGCAAGUCACCGUGCGCAGUGUCCCCUCGGAGCCGCGCAGACAUCCCCUCCCCAAAUUCAUCGAGGAGCUUCUCCGAUCCGCUCCCACCUCCUCUUCCUCAGCCCAGCACUGGGGCUUUGCUGGGGGGCACAGGAAGGGGCUGGGGUAGGGAGAGGCUGCAUCACGACCCCCCCCCCCCAUGGGGUUGGCAGCACGAAGCCUGACGGGGGGCACCCCGCUUUCCCGCAGCGGCCGCUGUACCCCACUCUGCAGACCCUGAGCCCCGUGCUCACCCCGGGCAGCUCCGGCGUCCCAAGCCACGGCCUCACCGGCUUCCCCUUCCUCGCCCCAGCCCAAGCAGAGUUUGGGGCUGGCGAGACCCCGCUGCCCCCCGGCUUCCUGCAGCCCGGCCCCACGGCGUGGCAGCACCCACGGGACAUGGCAGCGCUGGGGGUCAGCAGCCGGAUGGUGUCCACCGAAGAGCCGGCCCCAGCCCCCAGCACCUCCCCGCAGCACCAAGCCAUCAGCAUCAAGUCGGAGCGGGUCUCCCCGGGGCUGGGCUGUCCCUCGGGCACCCCCCAGCCCCCCUUGGCCAGCCUGGCCUCCCUGAGCGAAGCAUCCCGAGGCUCCGGAGACCUCCAGCCACGGGAUGACUAUGCCAAGGGGUACCCCUACCCCCUGGGCCCCCCCCGGCCGCUGGCGGAGGAGCAGCGGGCCCCCAUCCCCACACGGCGGGCGCAGGCCAUGGACGCUUGGCAGAGAUAGC
rnacentral:lncRNA from 1 species